AUAGAUCAAACCAUAGUUCGUUAGGCUCAUAACCCAAAGGUCGCUGGUUCGAGUCCAGCU
rnacentral:tRNA from 1 species